UCUCCGUUGGUGAACCAGCGGAGGGAUCAUUGCUGGAACGCGCCCCUGGCGCACCCAGAAACCCUUUGUGAACUUAUACCUUACUUUUGCCUCGGCGCAUGCCGGCCCCCCCGGGGGCCCCUCGGAGACGAGGAGCAGGCACGCCGGCGGCCAAGUUAACUCUUGUUUUUACACUGAAACUCUGAGAAAAAACACAAAUGAAUCAAAACUUUCAACAACGGAUCUCUUGGUUCUGGCAUCGAUGAAGAACGCAGC
rnacentral:misc_RNA from 1 species